GAUCAUGGCUCAGAUUGAACGCUGGCGGCAUGCUUUACACAUGCAAGUCGAACGGCAGCACAGGGAGCUUGCUCCCGGGCGGCGAGUGGCGCACGGGUGAGUAAUACAUCGGAACGUGUCCUGUUGUGGGGGUAUAACUGCUCGAAAGGGUGGCUAAUACCGCAUGAGACCUGAGGGUGAAAGCGGGGGAUCGCAAGACCUCGCGCAAUUGGAGCGGCCGACGCCCGAUUAG
rnacentral:rRNA from 1 species